ACAAGGGUGUGAGCAGCCACAGUGAGUAACAGGGAAUCCGGUUAGAAGAGAUCUGUUACCACCCCGGGCUGUGAGGAGACACAGGACAGGCCCAGGGUCUGUGGGCAGCAUGGGGAGCCCCUCGGGGUGAUGGCUGAGCUACAAGGCCCCACCCCCUCAGAUUGCCCUCUGCUCUGCUGAAACCAGAGGCCAGAAGACAAGGAAGCCCAAGUAGACCCUCGGAGCUGGUGAGAACAGAGACGAAGCUGGUCUGAAACAGCACACCAGAAAUGCACAGGACAUUACCUCGAUCUGCAGGAGCAGGGGUGAGUUCAGCGACACAAGAACAGAUGGUGGAAACCUGUCUCAACUCAUGAUUUUGAACAAAGAUUAAGCCCACAAACACAGGCCUCUGUUGACUGUCACUUUUUUUUGAGAAAAUUCACAA
rnacentral:lncRNA from 1 species